GACUGAUAUUACUUGAUAUUGCUUGUAAACUGAUCUUGUAAGAUCUCAGAAGCUACGGAAUGCUGGGCCUGGUCAGUACUGGGAUGGGAGACCUUUUAGGAAACCCAGGUUGCUGCAGUGU
rnacentral:rRNA from 1 species